UUAUAAAUAUAAUACAUUUGACGUCUUAAAUGUUGUUUAACAACCGAUUAAUGCUCUCAAAGUGAUCUAGUCGUGCAUUUCAAAAGUGCGCACUCCCCCUGUUAUGUUUUUGGUUUAUUCCCAUAGACUGCCAUGUUGGAUUGAGUCACAAAUCUGCCGCUACUUGCGCUGGAGUUCUGAUUAAAGUUUAGUAUCUACCAUAUGUAAGACGUUGCAGGAAUGUUCUCAUAAUUUGGAUUGAAGGAGGACCUUACGUUGUGUUUGGGACUAACGAGGACAAUAUCACACUAAAUCUGUUUCUAUCGGGAAGUGAACAAACGUGCAUCGAUGUGAGGGUCCGGUUGCAGGCCACGGGAGAUCAAUGACUGUUUGUUUGGGUUUCUUACAACGUCAAAUCGGAAUCGUAACACACUUUUUGGUUGAUAGUCAAUAAUGAGUGGCCAUCUGCCGCAACGGCGGCCCGCUAACUGUGCAUCCAAACUGCUAACCCCACAAGAGAACGACUGUCUCUUCAAUUACCUCGGCAGAAAAUGCACCUCGCUGUGUUCAGCGGUGGUGCAGGUAUACUCAGCAGACAGGAACUCAGCCUGGACCAAGAAGUGCUGUGGUGUGGCCUGUCUGGUCAAAGACAACCCAGCACGAUCCUACUUCAUCAGGGUGUUCGACAUGAAGGAGGGUAGAAGCAUGUUAGAGCAGGAGCUCUACAACAACUUCUCGAUCACUUUUCCCAAGUCUUACUUCUUCACAUUCGCAGGAGACUCGUGCCAGAUGGGACUGAACUUCUCCAACGAGGAGGAGGCCAAGCUUUUCCGGGGAGCCGUCGAGGACCUGCUUGGGAGACGACAGAGAAAAUCUGGCCCUGCCCUGCCCAUGGCCACGGUGGACAUCAAGAAUCCAGAGAUCAGCAGUAUGCCACGGUUCCACGGCCACAACUCUCAGCUCAACAUGGUGAGCAGCAGCGUCAACAACAACAACAAGAAGGAGAAGAAGGUGAAGGGAAAGAAGGGCAAGAAGCUGACCAAGGCGGACAUCGGAACGCCCAGCAACUUCCAGCACGUUGGCCAUGUCGGCUGGGACCCCAACACAGGCUUCGAUGUGAACAACCUAGACCCGGAGCUAAAGAACCUGUUUGACAUGUGUGGCAUCUCUGAGGCCCAGCUGAAGGACAAGGAGACUUCCAAGGUCAUCUAUGACUUCAUUGAGAAGAAGGGAGGAGUGGAGGCAAUCAAGAUAGAGCUCCGCAGACAAGCCCCUCCACCCCCUCCUUCCAGAGGCGGACCCCCACCCCCUCCCCCACACCAGACCUCCAGCCCCCCCCCCCCGCCCCCACCGGUCAGAGGCAGGGGCGCACCUCCCCUCCACCCCCUCCAGAGCGCCCACCUCAGCACCACCACCUCCCCCCUCCAGAACAGGCAUGGGAGCUCCACCCCCACCCCCAACUAGAGGCCUUCUGCCCCCUCCUCCCCUGGCUCCCCAUGCCCCACCUCCUCCCCCACCUCCCUCCUUCACCUCAGCAGGUAUUGGUUCCGGAGCACCUCCUCCUCCUCCCCCGCCGCCUCCCGGCCCUCCUCCCCCACCCAUGCUUCCGGAAGCUGAUGGAGGGGGUGUAGGUGCUGGUAAGCCCUCAGCCCUGUUGAGCCAGAUCAGGGAGGGGGCUCCGCUGAAGAAGGUGGAGCCCGUUUCCACCAACACCAGCCGAGACGGUCUCCUCGAACAGAUACGACAGGGCAAACAGCUAAAGGCUGUGACUGACGAACCAGGGUCAGGAGGACCCGCCGCCCCUUCAGCCGGCAUCGUAGGCGCUCUGAUGGAGGUGAUGCAGAAGAGGAGCAAAGCCAUCCACUCAUCAGAUGAUGAUGACGAUGAUGACGAGGAAGAAGACUUUGAGGAUGAUGAUGAGUGGGAUGACUAGUGACCCUCCCCCUCGCGGAUGAUUAUGACAACACUACAUUGUUCCUAAAUUGUCUUUCUAAAUCUUAUUCAAAUUAUAAUGUAAAUGUUUUAUCAAUUUGCUGUAUAUUUUUGUUGCCUUUUUUUUUAUAGAUUAUUCUGUGCAAUACCUCAUUUAAUCUGUAAAGGUUUGUCAUGUUAUCUUUCUGUAAAGUUUUCUUCUCUCUCUUCUCUCCUGGAUUUAAACUUUUUACAUCAAGUUUCUCUUGAUCUAAGAGGUCAGUCAGUGACUGGAGAGAACAAAUGAACAAACUGUCAGAGCCCUUAAUAAUUUAGUUGUUAAAAAUCGAGAACACUAUUUUCAUACCCUUCUCUUACUUUAUUUUUACUUAUUCAAAAAUCCUAGUUUAGCACUCUUAUUUUCCUAUGAAAUCAGCUAUGUUGGAAUAUUUAGCCCCAUUUUUCUGUCAAUUGUAAAUCUACUCAGUUUGUAUUUUUGCACGAAUUGAAAGAGGCUCAGUACGUGAAUACAGAGCAGUAUCAUGGCUGUAUCUGCAACGUUAUGCUUGAAAGGCUAUCACUUAAAUGAUCCAACACUGUCAACCCGUACACUACAGUAGUACACACACACAGCUGUCUUCUGUUUUUUGGUUUUUCAUCAUAGUUACAAUACAUUAUUGAUUACAAACGGUUACCACAAACAAUGUUUUUUUAGUUUUUUUUUUUAUAGUAGCAAUCAGUCUCCUACAGUUUAUUUGUUUGAAUCAGGUCAGUGCAGAUGCAAAGCUUGAGGAUGAAUUAGUCUGUCGACUUAAUAUGACAUCUGAUUUUGCAGCCGAGUGUCCCAUGAUGAUCUGUUUCUCUAACAAACUGUCCCUCAGAACCAGUGAACUACACUAACACAUUUACUAUUGACACUAACCUGACUCUACACAGGGGGAUACUGCUUUCUCAUUGGAAGGGAACCAAUGCUGUUAUUUACUGUAUCGCUCUGUCUGUUUUCACGAUGAGUGAAACUGCGUUCAGGAACCAAGAUAUAUGGACAUCAAACCUUCAGAAAUUAGGUUGGAAGAAUAAUGGACUAUUAAAUUGUACACUCAAAUAAAUGUUAAUAAUUUACAGA